GACGAACGCUGGCGGCGUGCCUAACACAUGCAAGUCGAACGGAAAGGCCCUGAUUUUGUGGGGUGCUCGAGUGGCGAACGCGUGAGUAACACGUGAGUAUCCUGCUCUUGUCUUUGGGAUAACUUCAGGAAACUGGGGCUAAUACAGGAUAGGAUCUCCUGCUGCAUGGUGGGGGUUGGAUAGUUUCGGCGGUUGGGGAUGGACUCGCGGCUUACCAGCUAGUUGGUUGGGUAGUGGAUUACCAAGGCAUUGACGGGUAGCCGGCCUGAGAGGGUGCACGGCGACAAGGCUACUGAGAGAGGGCGCAGUCGCGUACGGUAGGCAGCGGGGGGAAGUCUGACACAACGAGAGGAAGCCUGAUGCAGCGGCGCCGCGUGCGUGAUGACGGCCUUCUGGUUAUAAACCGCUGUCGCCUGUGACGAAGCGUUAGUGACGGUAAUGGAUAAAGAAGCACCGGCUAACUACGUG
rnacentral:rRNA from 1 species